GGGCCCGCACAAGCGGUGGAGCAUGUGGUUUAAUUCGAUGAUACGCGAGGAACCUUACCAGGGCUUAAAUGUAAGUUGCAUAGAGUAGAGAUAUUCUUUUCUUCGGACUACUUACAAGGUGCUGCAUGGUUGUCGUCAGCUCGUGCCGUGAGGUGUCAGGUUAAGUCCUAUAACGAGCGCAACCCCUGUUGUUAGUUGCCAGCGAGUCAAGUCGGGAACUCUAACAAGACUGCCAGUGCAAACUGUGAGGAAGGUGGGGAUGACGUCAAAUCAUCACGGCCCUUACGUCCUGGCUACACACGUGCUACAAUGGUAGGUACAGAGAGCAGCCACUGCGCGAGCAGGAGCG
rnacentral:rRNA from 1 species